rnacentral:rRNA from 1 species
UACAGAGGCCUCAAGCGUUAGGCGGAAUCACUGGGCUUAAAGCGUGUGUAGGCGGACUUCUAAGUACCUUGUGAAAUCCCACGGCUUAACCGUGGAACUGCUUGGUAUACUGGUUGUCUUGAGCCACUUAGGGGCUACCGGAACAAACGGUGGAGCGGUGAAAUGCGUAGAUAUCGUUUGGAACGCCAAUGGUGAAAACAGGUUGCUGGGGGUGUGCUGACGUUGAGACACGAAAGCCAGGGGAGCAAACGGG